rnacentral:misc_RNA from 1 species
AUUCUGCCUUCUACUGCAUCCCUGGUUACGCCUCCUCUGGCUCAGUCGCACAGCUACCUGUUAAAAGAAUAUUGGCAGAGAAACAGCCCUGGUGUUCCAGCAGGAGCCAAGAGGAACAGGAAAACAAAUGGCAGCAUCCAUGAGACAGCCACUUCUGGUGGUUGCCACUCACCUGGAGAUUCAGCAACAGGUAUCCACGGGGAGAGCCCUACAUCAUCUGCUACCCUGAAGGAUCUGGAGAGCCCGUGCCAAGAACUAGCAGUAGUCCCAGACUCGAGGUCCGUAAAAGUCAGUCAACUGAAGAACACCAUCAAAUCUUUGAAACAACAGAAUAAACAAGUGGAACAUCAGCUGGAAGAAGUAACAUGAUUUCUUUGUUUGCUCGCGACAUGACUGCUCGGUUUGGGGGACACUCAGAUGUAGAGGCCCCGAGUCUCGUCUCACCCACUCCCAGCCUGGGGAAGAAGGCUCACC